rnacentral:rRNA from 1 species
AGAGUUUGAUCAUGGCUCAGAGUGAACGCUGGCGGCAGGCCUAACACAUGCAAGUCGAGCGGCAGCGGGUCCUUCGGGAUGCCGGCGAGCGGCGGACGGGUGAGGAAUGCAUCGGAAUCUGCCUCUUUGUGGGGGAUAACGUAGGGAAACUUACGCUAAUACCGCAUACGUCCUACGGGAGAAAGUGGGGGACCUUCGGGCCUCACGCAGAGAGAUGAGCCGAUGCCGGAUUAGCUAGUUGGCGGGGUAAAGGCCCACCAAGGCGACGAUCCGUAGCUGGUCUGAGAGGAUGAUCAGCCACACUGGGACUGAGACACGGCCCAGACUCCUACGGGAGGCAGCAGUGGGGAAUAUUGGACAAUGGGCGCAAGCCUGAUCCAGCCAUGCCGCGUGAGUGAAGAAGGCCUUCGGGUUGUAAAGCUCUUUUGUCCGGAAAGAAAUCCUGUCGGCUAAUACCCGGCGGGGAUGACGGUACCGGAAGAAUAAGCACCGGCUAACUUCGUGCCAGCAGCCGCGGUAAUACGAAGGGUGCAAGCGUUACUCGGAAUUACUGGGCGUAAAGCGUGCGUAGGUGG